CCCUUAGAUGUCCGGGGCUGCACGCGCGCUACACUGAAGGAAUCAGCGUGCUAAAACCAUUGUCGAAAGGCAUUGGUAAACCCAUUAAAAUCCUACGUGAUUGGGAUCGGGAAUUGCAAUUAUUUCCCUUGAACGAGGAAUUCCCAGUAAGUGUGGGUCAUAAGCUCGCGUUGAUUACGUCCCUGCCCUUUGUACACACCGCCCGUCGCUGCCCGGGACUGAGCCGUUUCGAGAAAAGCGGGGACUGCUGCUGUCGGGGCUUUCGGGCCUCGGCUUCGGUGGAAACCGCUUUAAUCGCAGUGGCUUGAACCGGGCAAAAGUCGUANCA
rnacentral:rRNA from 1 species